UGUAAUCUAUCAUAUUGAUUGUAUAACAAGAAAAUAUUCUUAUAUAGUUUCUAAGAUGAUUACCGUCCAAAUUAUGCCUCUGACAAUGCAAGGACCUCAUAAGCGCGCUUUUAUUUUGGAGUCACAGUGAAACGGUUAAUUAAGUUAAUUUAAACAUUAUUUUCUAAGAUGGAGCACAUUAAAACAAUAAUACUUUUAUGUCCUACACUUUUUA
rnacentral:lncRNA from 1 species